rnacentral:rRNA from 1 species
AUGGUGAAAUCCAAAGAUGAUCGGUACUCUUCCGGUGAUCGGAGCGGCCGCGGCGGCAUCACGGCGUCGGCCAUCGUCGCCCCAGCCGUCUCCGGGUCGCACGUUCUCAAGAUCGAAGGCUACUCCCGAACCAAAGGGCUCGGCAACGGCAAUUGCAUCGUAUCCAGGACAUUCGCAGUCGGUGGUCAUAGGUGGUAUAUCCAAUACUUCCCUGAUGGCAGCGGCACUGACGCUGCCGAUUGGAUAUCCAUCUUCAUCUGCCUCCAUGACGAUGAUACCAGUGAAGUCAAAGCAUCAUACAAGAUUAAUCUGCUCGAUCAAGGCGGGAAUCCGGUCCCGUCGUACUGCUUUGCCAGGUCGACUAAAACCUUCUCCAGAAGAAUGCCAUGGGGUUGCAGAGCAUUCAUCAAGAGAAGGGACUUAGAGGAAUCAGCUUACCUCAGGAAUGAUGUUUUCAGCGUCAGGUGUGAUCUCACUGUGAACACGGGCAUCUUCACCAAGCACCUUGUCCCGGUUACCACCCUUCUUAGGGUCAAAAAAGAAAGAUUGUAG